rnacentral:rRNA from 1 species
UACAGAGGUCCCAAGCGUUGUUCGGAUUCACUGGGCGUAAAGGGUGCGUAGGUGGCCGGGUAAGUCUGACGUGAAAUCUCCAAGCUCAACUUGGAAACUGCGUCGGAUACUAUCCGGCUAGAGGAUCGGAGGGGAGACUGGAAUACUUGGUGUAGCAGUGAAAUGCGUAGAUAUCAAGUGGAACACCAGUGGCGAAGGCGAGUCUCUGGACGAUUCCGUGACACUGAGGCACGAAAGCCAGGGGAGCAAACGGG